rnacentral:lncRNA from 1 species
AUAAGGAUUACCAUCAUCACAAGCAUUCCACCAUUGUGGAUCUCAGGUGGAAUACAAUCACUAAUGGAGGUCUAACUUAUACCAAUGAAAGCCAAACAAUGGUUACUUGGUUUAGGCAUCCCACAGAUAUUUUUUUGAGAUUUCAAAAAAUGUUCUCUUUCUGCAUCUGGCUGAAACUGUGAACUUGAAUUUCAGAGCUGGGACUUGGAUUUAUGCCACCUACUUACCAGGUGAGUGCCUGACCCAUCAGUUUGCUCAGUACCACUAUUUAUCAGCUGUAGCUUGAGGGAUAAGAGGGGAGCUGGCCCUCUUCCCAUAUCUCAUCCACUGCACCAAAUGUUCUCAUGAAAAUUACGUGGGUGAAGUUGGACAAAAAACUAGGCAUCAGACUUCAUAGAAUCAUAGAGUGUAAGGCUGG